rnacentral:rRNA from 1 species
UAAGGGCGACUGAAACGGGAGGAGCCCAGCGCAUAACCUCGCGGUCCUUUGCCGGCCGACGAGGGGUGUUGCGUUUCGGUGGAUCCAUCCCGCUCGGACCGUUUACCGCCUAAGUCAUUGCUUGAAAGCAGCCCCAAGGAGGGUGAUAGGCCCGUGUGGCGGCGCCUGUAAAAAGGGUAAAGGCGGUCCGGGCGGAGGGGUCUUCACCGCAGAGUCGGGUUGCUUAGUACUGCAGCCCUAAGCAGGUGGUAAACUCCAUCUAAGGCUAAAUACUACCACGAGUCCGAUAGAGAACAAGUACCGUGAGGGAAAGUUGAAAAGGACUUUGAAGAGAGAGUUCAAAAGGACGUGAAACCGUUAGAAGCAUAAACGGGUGGAACCGCGAAGGUCGAACGAGGGGAUUCAGCUCGUGGGUCUCGGGAAGCGGGUGGCGGCACAUGAGAAUUGCAGUGUGAGGACCCAGCGCCCAGUGCUUUAGCUGUGGCACCGCCCCCGCUUCCUUAGGUGCCGGCGGGCUUACUUCUCCCUCCAGUAGGUCGCCGCGACCCGUUGCGGGGACCCCCAAGGCCGUGUCGGAUUGGUAGCCCAGGUGUUUGCGCGCCUGGGUGAUGACCGGCGGCGGUUCUGACGGGCCCCUGCGACGGUCACUGCCAGGAGGCAGGGCCGGCGUUUCGACGUUGGCCCUUGCCUCUCGCGGCGUAGAAGGGAUCGGUAAUCCACCCGACCCGUCUUGAAACACGGACCAAGGAGUCCAACAUGUGCGCGAGUCUAAGGGUGAACUAAACCCGGAGGCGAAAUGAAAGUGAGUGUAACGCAGGCCGAUCCCCGGCCGUACUCUUCCGGGGGUUGCCCGGCCGCCGUUUUCGAGGUAAUUUCCGGCGGCCGCGGUGGCUCUCGGGGUUGCGGCGUCCAGCUCGGACCGGAGCCGGGGCGCAGGCCGAGGACUUGUCGCUCAGCGGCCCGGGCAACGGGGCCUCUCGCCCUUAUCCCGGUGUGCUGCUGGCAAGUACCUAAGAGCGCACACGUUGGGACCCGAAAGAUGGUGAACUAUGCCCGGCGAGGAUGAAGCCAGAGGAAACUCUGGUGGAGGUCCGAAGCAGUUCUGACGUGCAAAUCGAUUGUCAGAGCUGGGUAUAGGGGCGAAAGACUAAUCGAACCAUCUAGUAGCUGGUUCCCUCCGAAGUUUCCCUCAGGAUAGCUGGCAUUCAGGAUGAUGAGUUUCAUCCGGUAAAGCGAAUGAUUAGAGGCCUUGGGGGUGCAAUGCCCUCAACCUAUUCUCAAACUUUAAAUGGGUGAGAUGUGGAGCUUGCUUGAUCUACUGAAGCUCUAUAACACAGAAUCAGAAUGUCUAGUGGGCCACUUUUGGUAAGCAGAACUGGCGCUGUGGGAUGAACCAAACGCACGAGUUAAGGGGCCUAAACGGAUGCUAAUGUUGACACUAAGAAAAGGUGUUGGUUGCUAUAGACAGCAGGGCGGUGGCCAUGGAAGUUGGAAUCCGCUAAGGAGUGUGUAACAACUCACCUGCCGAAGCAACUAGCCCUUAAAAUGGUAUGGCGCUCAAGCAUUCUCCCGAUACUCGGCCGCCGGGGCACUACAGGCUGGGGCAACCCGGUCUCGAAGCCCCGGCGAGUAGGAGGGUCGCAGCGGUGUGCGCAGAAGGGACCCGGCGCGAGCCGGCCUGGAGCCGCCGCUGGUGCAGAUCUUGGUGGUAGUAGCAAAUAAUCAAGAGAGAGCCUCGUUGACUGAUGUGGAGAAGGGUUCCAUGUCAACAUCAGUUGAACAUGGGUGAGUCAGGCCUAAGCCCAAGGAUAAACUUCCUGUGUCCCAUGGUUUCCGUUGGCGAAUGACUUGAAGGUCUUUGGUGGCGGUGGUGGUGUCGGGGUCUCGUCUCGUGGAAUUUUUGAAUGAGAAAGAAAUGAAGGAAUGUAGCGAGCGAGCGAACGA